rnacentral:rRNA from 1 species
GACGAACGCUGGCGGCGUGCUUAACACAUGCAAGUCGAACGGGUCUGCCCUGUUUUUUGCGGGGUGGGUCAGUGGCGAACGGGUGAGUAACACGUGAGUAACCUGCCCCUCACUUCUGGAUAACCGCUUGAAAGGGUGGCUAAUACGGGGUGUUCUGGCUGUGCCGCAUGGUGUGGCUGGGAAAGAUUCACUUUUGUGGUGUUUUGGUGGGGGAUGGGCUCGCGGCCUAUCAGCUUGUUGGUGGGGUGAUGGCCUGCCAAGGCUUUGACGGGUAGCCGGCCUGGGAGGGUGGGCGGUCACACUGGGACUGAGAUACGGCCCGGACUCCUGCGGGAGGCAGCAGUGGGGGGUAUUGCACAAUGGGCGGAAGCCUGAUGCAGCGACGUCGCGUGAGGGAUGGAGGCCUUCGGGUUGUGAACCUCUUUCGCCGGUGAAGAAGGUCCUGCUCUUUGUGGGGGGGUUGACGGUAGCCGGGUUAUGAAGCGCCGGCUAACUACGUG